CUGGCGGUCACGGUGAGCACCAAAGCAGUGAUCAUAGGUGGACGGGACGAAAGCAAGGCUGAUCUGUGUUUUGAACGCGAUUUCGGCGUGAUUUCGGCCAAGUGGCCGACCAAACCGACGACCAGCUAUGCCCGCAAGGGCUUUGCAGUGCCUGGGCUGUCUGUGACGAAUAGUUUCAACAUGCACCAGUUCAAGCACUAAUCAAAUUUCUACCUUGAUCGUGGACGAUUACCUAAGGUCGAUUGUUGUGAUUCAACAUGACCGCCAAAGCAGUUCUCAUCUGCCGACCAAACUCGCACCCCUUUCAGGAACGGACGCUUUACUUGGACCAGCCAGUGAAAAUCGGCCGGUCAGUGGCCCGAGCUAGGCCGGCGCCCAACAAUGCCAUCUUUGACUGCAAAGUUCUCUCCAGGAAUCAUGCUUUGCUUUGGUACGAGAAUGGAAAGUUUUAUCUGCAAGACACGAAAAGCAGCAACGGGACCUUUGUCAACAACCAGCGGCUCAGUAAAGGCGCCGAGGAGUCUCCUCCUCGGGAGGUCUGCUCAGCAGACAUCGUCCAAUUCGGGGUCGACGUUAUGGAGAACACGAGGAAAGUGACGCACGGCUGCAUCGUGGCCACCUUAAAGUUGUACCUGGCUGACGGAAAAGAGGCAAAGGCCAGUCCUUCCACCACAGUGGUCAGUUCUGUUGGCUCUGUGCCUCUGGAGGACAUGUACCAGCUCAAGCACUUCAUCCAAGAAUGUUUGCACCGAGAACAACUUUUAGAGAACAAAUUGGCAACCAUGCAGAGUCUUGUAAGCAAUAUGGUUGUGGCUGUGGACAAAGCUUGGAAGGCACUGAUUGAGGAGGACAGACUCCUUUCCAAAAUUGAGCUACUUGAGAAUCAGCUCCUGACCUGCUCCAAGAAUUUUCCUGAGGAUAAGGUCAGGGAGGAAGUUCGGAGGUUGCUGGAGGAGAAGGACAGUUACCAAGCAGCUGCUAAAGAGGCCUUGAAAAAGGUUGUUCAGGAAAAGGUCGAAGCCGUCGUGAAACUAAAAGACAUUGAAAGGGCCUUGAGUAAUUCGGAAGACGAGUGUGCGCUGCUGAGGAAUUCAUGCGAUCAAAAUCAAAAGGACUGCCAGGAUCUUGCCCAGAAGUACAAACUAGUGCAGCAGACUGUGGAGGAGUUGGCGCAAAAGUUGAAAGAGAGUGAAGAACAGCAGGUUGAGGCCAUUGAGCGUCUCGAGCAGGAGAAAAUCGAACUGGAGGCGUGUCUGCAGGAACGGCAGGACAAUCAAAACCGGUCGCCACGCAUUGAUCUCUGCAACAACGACGAACAGUCUUUCAAUGAUAGCAACUCUAAAACCAAACUCGAUCUCGAUGACACCAUUGACUUGCCAGAUGGAGAGCUUAUCCUGAAGAAAAUUGAGGAUGUGCCUGAAAUCACCCUGAAGGAGGUGAGUCAGUUCAACGAGGAAGUGGAAAAACUCAAGCAGCGUCUUGAAGGAAUGGAAGAAGAUCUGCACAAAAGUCAGCAAGUCGUCGACGACCUCAUCGAGCAACUCAAGAAUACCCAGAUGGAGAUCGAUUUGCGAGACAAAGUUGUCGUUGAUUUGCAGGAGAGAAUUCAGCUGACUAAAGAGGAAUUGGCUGAGAAUACGAGCAAUGAUGUCAAAUCUAACAAGGUACCUGAUGAAGAUGAAGUGCCACAGUCUGAAACUGUUAACAAACUCAAACAGCAGCUGGAGGAGCUACAAGAGUGCCUAGAAAGCUCUUUGUUUCAUGUUGAGUUCUAUAAAAGCAUGGUGGUGGUUAUGUCAGAGCUGCUGGAAGAAGCGCGUGAUAUGAAACGGUCUUCGGACGCCAAAGUCACUCGGCUCCAAAACGAGCUUGACACUGCCCAACUCGAGUGCAAAAAACUCACAGAGGAAUCUGAAGUUCUUCGCGGACAUAUCCAAUUUUUGGAGCAGGGAGGACAUUCGCCUGGCUUGCGGCUUGAACAGCAAAUGCUCAACCUGGUCUCCUCGUCCCAGACCCUGCAGGCCCAGUACAUGCAAUUGCAGUCGGUUUUGCAGGAGGCAACCAACAGGGCCCGUCUGCGAAACGAGGAAGUCGAAAGACUCAGAAGACAACUAAUGGAAUCUCAGCAAAAUGAAAAGCAGUGCCGCAAUGAGGCUGAAAAAAUGAAAGAUGUGGUGAAGAACUUGGAGGAAGAAGUGGCUUCCUGCAAGCAACUUUCGGGCAAAGUCCUCCAGGAGGACAACAAGAAAAAUGAGGAACUGCAGCACUCGCAGCAGGAGUGCAAGUCCUUGCAGCACUGGAUAUCAGUUAUGGAGGACGAAUUAAAAACGCUUAAAAUGAAACACUUGCAACUUGAGGAAGAAAAUAAAACUCUGAAGGCUUCCGUUUCUUCCAAAGAUAGCAAAUCUGUGUGUCCGGAACCAAGUGGUGACUUUUCAGCCGAGGACGAGUCCAAUCUGGAUAUAUCAGAAAUCACAAAGCAGCAGGAUUUUGUCAAAGUGAUGCAGCUGUACUUGUCCUGCAAACAGCGCAAGGCCGAAAUGUCCAACGACUUGGAACGCCUCAAGGAGGAGAACACAAGGCUGGAGAAUCGAUCGACCACUGUGCCUUCAAUUGCUAUUUAUAUUUGUGCUGCAGUUUUGUUUGUCGCAUGGCUGUUGCAUAACGCACUCUCAUCAUAAUUUUCUUUUUUCUCUGAGUGUCACUCUUCUAUGUAGUUCACUUUGUAACACGUCCUGGAUUUUUAUAUCUGCAGGGAUUCUUGUUUGGUGUUAUUCCAUUGAUGCUCUUGGUCUGGGCCUUAAUUUUAAGAAUACAGAGUUCUCUCGCCUUUUUUACCGCAACCUUCGACUAAGAUUACAAAAGACGAGAUAUUUUGUCUAACAUGCAGUAGAAAAAAGAAGAAGGAAAACACACACAAUCAGAAUACGCAUAAAUAUGUAUAUUUAUUCCUGACCUAUGUAUUCGGAAUAACUUUAUCGAUGUCGUGCCAUUUCUUUUCUUCGAAAGGAGCCACCUUCGAAAUGUAUUCACUUAAAAAAUCUCGACCACCUGCGGUGCUUGCCAAAAAUUGACUCCGUCGAAUCUCAUCUGAUUUUAAUUAACUGUCAAAUGCCCAAACGCAUUUAUUAGCAUUUUCGCAAAUCAGUUUAUUAUGUUAUUUGCAACCUGUUCAAAACAAAACGGUGCUUGUUUUUCAAGAGCUGGCUGCUGCAAAACUCAAAGCGCUGACUGCACUGACUUUGUAGGUUGUCAAACAAACAAAUGUCGUUUUUCAUGACAAGCACAAAACUAGCUGUGGAGUAAUACAAAAUAUUAUGUUGAUUUACUCGUUUGCCCUGGUGGUUGUGGCCUGAGGUGGCUCCUCAGCUAUGAAUUAAUCUUAAAAGUGUUGUAAAAAAGAAAAGUUGCAAACAAAGUGUAAAAUUGUACAUUGCUCGAUCAAGCUCAAAAUUCUAAACGCACCUCUCGAAAUGGAAAGCAGACACACAUAGGCACACACACAUAUGCAAAGUAUUUAUUAAUUGUUAUUCAAACUGAUUUUAUACAUAUUUGUAAGUAGACACCAUAAAUUAUUUUUCUCUGCCGCUGACAGCAAACAAUCGAGGAACAUGUUUCGGUACAGUUGAUCUGUGAACUUUUAUUGUCAAUUAUUAUCUAAUUUUAUAUUACUCAAGCCGCAAAAAUGAUAGAUUUCAAUAUAUUAAGCUUGUAAAGCUAGUCAUGGUUGUUUUUAAGUUUGUCUCCGGAUCAUGUGAACAAUUAUUGGAAAUGUUUUUAUCUGUUCGAAUAGUUCGUCACUAAUAUUAUAUUGUUAAUUUUUUAGUUUUUUGUUCUGCAAGGUACAGUUGGAAUAAAAAUUGAAAUGGAUCAUGUA